GGCGGUGUAGCUCAGAGGUAGAGCAAGCGGCUCAUAAUCGCUGUGUCGGAGGUUCGAGUCCUCCCACCGCUACCA
rnacentral:tRNA from 1 species